UCUCAACCUUUAGAUGGCAAGUGGACUAAAAGAUUCUUGCAAAAAUACCAAAGAUAAAAAUAUAUUAAUAACAAUGAUGUAAGCAACAAGCAAGCUUCAGAAACAAUAAACAGGCAGAGCCGACAUUUUUACCACUCCCUACAAUAUGAGUUCAUAGUUAUCUCAGAAGUAAAAGCAAUGACAAUCUAGUUAUCUAAUUCUUGGACAUAAAGCUUGAAAAUUAUCAAGAAGACCUUCUGACAUGUGAAUUUAUACCUACAACAAAAUUAUUAGCUACUGAUAGUAUGGAGAUUUGUGAUUUGCAGAAUGUUUAUAAGUAGUUUCAUUUUACUUUGCUAUAGUUUGCUCUGUUUCAGUCCUCCAAAUCUCAUAUUGAAAUUAGAUCCCCAGUGUUGUAGGUGGGGCCUAAUGUGAUGUGUUUGGGUCAAAAGGGUGGAUCCUUCACUAAUGGCUUAGUGCUGUCCUUGAGGUUGAUGAGUAAGUGCUUGCUCUAUUAAUUCCCCAGAGAGCUGGUUGUUAAAAAGAGCCCCACACCUCCCCCUUAUCUUGCUUCCUCUUUCUUGCUGCGUGAUCUCUGCACAGGCCUGCUCCUGUUUGCUUUCUGUCAUGAAGGGAAGCAGCCUGAAACCCUCAUGAGAAGCAGAUGCAGGUGCCAUGCUUCUUGUAUCGCCUGCAGAAUGGAAAAAGGAUAUUCAAGUGGCAUAUGAAAGCAGAACACCUGCCCUACCUCCAGAUCCGGCAUUACAAGCACCUUGUAAGAUACCACAGCCACCACUUUCAGACUGCUGGGUAAAAGCAAGUGGUUUCCUGAGAGUCUGUCCAUUUACAGCAAGAAGUAAAAAAAGGUUCUGAGAAGAAGUGAGGAGAAGCUAACAGCUGAGCAUGACUUCCAGAAGACAGUGUGGACAGGUUUCAGGUGAGUGGAUGGGAAAAGGGAUACCGUAGAGAUGACUGAGAAUAAGAAUCCAGGAAGAUCAGCACUGAUUGGGAGCUCCAGGCUCCUUGUGAGGUUUGAUGCACAUGAGAGAAUGGCAAAAGCAGAUUUGCCUUGAAGUUCUCAAUGCAAGCAAUGAGGAGAAGGCUGGGAGUGUUGCAGGGCGCUGAGCGUGGAGUCUUGCUGGGAGUGUUCUGAGGCUUCCUCUUUAUUCCUGACAGUGGUGAAGUGGGGCCAUAGAUGGCAUAGUCUUUAUCCUGACUACUUGGAAAUCUGGGAGAGGUGUAGAGACCAGGCGAGGUUCGUCUUUUUCAGCUGAUGUGUGGGUGGCUCUUCAGAGCAGAUUUGAAAGUGUGCAAUGGAAAAUGGUGUUGGAAACGAGUUGAGUAGAUGAGUCAAUGCAACUCUAAUUUUAAUGCCCCAAACCAUGCCCAGCUCAAAAGUCACAGGGUGGUCAUAACAGUUCCACUUUUCUACUCCUGUCAUCAUUAAGCCUCAAAUAAAUAAAAGAAGGGGCCUGUCUCAACAUAUCAAAAGCUGCUGAAUUGUGUCCAUUUAUCCUUUCACUGUUGUGAGA
rnacentral:lncRNA from 1 species